AUGCCCCCAUGGGAUUCACGUGCGUGCGUGCCUAUUUUUCUGAACGAGUCAACGGAAUCAUUUCGAACACAAAUACAGGCGAACGUUCACAACCGUGGCCGCAGAGACUUCACAGAAGACCAAGCCCCAAAAUAUUCACUCACCGAAAAACACGCAGCAGAGACGGCAGCAGCGACAACGACUGAAAAGCUACAAGACAAAAACGACGGCAUUGGCGAUGAACUACAAAAGAAAGAAGAAGAAGAUGCCCAAAAACCUCCACUCAACGAAGAACAAGCACAACAUUCAGCAGCAGCAACGAGAACAGUAGCAGAGACAACAGAAGCAGCAACGAUUGAGGAGAAACACGAAGAAGGCGACCACGGAGAUACAACCAAUGAAUCAAACACACAGAUUGUUCCAGAGAAAGAAGCAGAAACCAUCGAAGAAAACCCUACACCGUCAUACGAUGCCAAUUCCCCUGGCAGAGAGGUCAGUGCCAACCAGGUCGAGACUGAAAAACAAGACGGAGAAGACCACCAGCAAGACAUGACGGUUGAUAAGGAAAAACAUGAUGCUAAGAAAAGCACAGACGACUCAAAUGAGGAUGGAGCAGAAACUGAACAAAAGGGCACAAUGGAGAAAGGGGGCAAAGAUAGUGAUUCCGUCAACAAAGCCAUCGAAGACCUGUAUAACGCUGUAUGCAAGCCAUGGACACAGAGAGAAAUGGAUGAGCUUUGCAUUACAACGAACAAGUUUGAUGUCAAUCUAGGCCAUGUCGCCGAAAGCUUCAAGGUCGGUAAAUCAGUACGCACCAAAGCAAUCGAGCCCAUGCUAACAAUCUUGAGAAAACAACUAAAUGGCAUAGGGAGAAAGAUUCUGUCGUUAAGCAACACUCACUCGAUAAAGGAAGCCGACGACGAAGAUCCAAUGUGCUACAGAAAUAAUGAUCAAGAACACAUUAGAAAAAAAUUACUACCUGUCAGGCUUACAUCAUUUUUCAACAUGCAAGAAGAAGAAAAACGACAAGAUUAUAACACGCACGUAAGCACAGAGCUACAGCUUUCACAAAAAAGCAUCGACCAUUUCAAAAGGGUCAAACUGCAGGUGCCACUUCAAGGAGAAGACACAAUGGACUGCGCAUUCUAUAUGUACAUGAACCUGAAGCACUACUCCAAUGAUGGAACAGCAGCAACCUUAGAGCCAGAACAACAUGAAGUCGAUAUGGGAGACAAAGAAAUGCAACAGACAGAAUGUUGCGUACUAGAAGAGUUUCCACCAAAUCCCGAGCCAAAAGAACAUAUUAUGCAUGCGACAACCACAAAAGAGCAUGAAGUUAUUGAUAUAUCCAGUAAACACAAAGAGGUUAUGGAUGUCAGCAGCCACGCCGUCGCCCAAGAAUCUUGCACAGACCACGAAGAAAAGGAUCCACCAAUAGAACCAGAUCAACCACCACCAGACGACAAGAUACCACACCAAGCCGAAGAGGAAAAGGACGAGAAAAAUAUCAAAAGCAAUAUCCCGAGCACAGAGAAACUAACAGGCACUGAUGCCAAGCCGUAUCUGACAAUCUUGCAGCAAGAAUUGGGAGAACAUUCAAUGCCUCAAUCAUCUGAGAACAGCUCAGACAAGAAAAUCUCGGUCAAGAAGAGGCCGGUAAAGCCUUCAAGAAGGCUCCAUGGAAAAAUCAUGAUUCCUACUUUUGUCCCAGGAGAUUUCAAAUUUAUGAACAAAGCCAGAGCACUUCAUGAAUACCUAUUCAGUAAAGAAGGACAGGACGAAUGCAGAGAUCUAAACGUAUAUAUUAGCUCGAAGCGACCCGAUUGGAUUACAGGAAAACAAAUAAUGGAACAGCUACAGAAAGGAGAUCAUGGACAGAUGGAGGGCUCCAUCGCAAACGCAUUGUUCGAAGAAUGGACAGUGCAACAACAAUACAACACAACUGAUAAAGCCAUACUUCCCGCAGAAUUUGCAAACAUCGUGCUCGGUGUUAAAACUGGAGAAGAAGAAGGACUAGCAGAAUUCAAUGAGGACGAAGCAUCGAAACAGUUUGCACCCCUUGUAACAGGGAAGGAACUUUUAAAGAAAAAGCUGAAUGGCAUUGAUCUCAUAAAAGAUGAUGAGGAUUUCCAUCAAAGCAACGUAGAUGCCGAGUGGAAACCAGAGUUCCUUUUUACAGCCAUAUUUGGUGAAACAAACCAAGUAAAGUGCGAGCAACUACCUGGAAGAACCAAAGAAUUCAAACGAGAAACUUCAAACUUCUUUUCCACCAACAAAGAAACAGAUGAAACAAAAAGGAAAAAAAGACGGAGCACCAGUCCAUACCCAAAACAUUCUCAUUGCUUCCAACACACAAAGGAGGCAUCUGACCUCUUCCAACUAGUCAUGAGCGACAGCUGGCAGGAGGAAUACAAAAACAAAACUAUAUUUAGGCGCAUCCGGAGGGACAGUGAAAGCACGCAACUUACUGGAGCCCAACUAAAGGCACUAUUUGGUCCAAGACCAGCACAGACGAACAUACCACAUCAUAUGGAAAAGAGGGUGCUCGAUGACAUAGCAGAAAUCUGGGAAAGCAGACAAGAUUCAAAAGAGAGUGACAGAGUAAUAUUAGGCCCAAACUUUGCAGAGAUAUUCAUUCAUUCCAAUGGAGAAGCAUGCUGCUACGUACUAUAUGUGCUGGACAAAUACAAACACAAAGUUCACAUUAUUGAUCCUCGAGAAACGACUCCAAAGGAAUUUGAGAAAGAAAAGAUAGAUGUGGAUAAAUUUCAUCCAGAUGAAGCAUGUCGAGUUCUUCAGGAACAUGAAGAUGCUAAAAAAAGAGAAAGACAGUUUCAGGAAUAUCAUGCUCAUAAGUUGGCAAUUGUACCUAGGAUUAAAGAAGUCUUCAACACCAUACUUGAACAAAUAAUGAAUCCAAAGAAAACAAGAUGGCAGAUUCAUACCGCGCAAGAUGUUCCAGUGGUAGAAAAGGGCGAAUCACCAUUUGCUGUUUUGAAGCUUGCAUUUCUCUACAAUGGUGAAAAGUUCGUCGAGGACCUGGAAGAUUUGAUAAACUAUUUCGACAACAGUACCUCUUACAUCAUCAGAGAGUGCCAGCGAGCAGGAGGUUCCCUCACGCCGGAGGCGCCGUGUCACACCACGGACAACGCGCCGCACGAACCAGCACGUUGCACGACCAACACGCACUUCGACCUAUGCUCCCCCUUCAAGAUGUUUAUGAAAAUUAAACGAGCUGAAGGCGAGCAGGAGCUCGAUGUUGUGCACCCGGACCACCACACCUCGCCUGGAUGGCGUCGCCGCCAGGCCGCAGUGACUCCCUGGUGCCCGCUUGACCUUCGUCGCACUACUGCACCACGCCUGGACGGCACCGCCGCCCGCCCGCAAUGCGUCACCGACACCCGCAGCUUCUCCUCGAGGCCCCCAGUAGCUUCGCCCAACUGGUCACUUCCAAUCAUCGGCAUCCGGUUCGCCCAUCUGCCGCGGCCCUCCGCACCCACCAUAGAACAUUGGAACAUCUCUAGCGCCAGCGUGAGUUUCUGGGAUUUCCUUGCGGUUUACAAGAUGAACCCCUCUAUCAUUGGCGCUAAUGUUCCCAUUAGCAAGGAAUGGGUUCCAGAAGAUAGACAAGAUCAAGGACUAUCACAGGCAUCCAAGCAGCUAGAUGGACUCACUGGCAAUGAGGGAGUGCAAGCGGUGACCUAUCCACAAACACUGAUUGGCCUCAAACAUACAGUUCAUCUCUUCCCGUUUGCUAAUUUUUCCCAUCUCCACCCCGAAUUGAUUGCCAAUAAUUCCGCGGCAAUGCGCGGGAAUCUGCAUUAUUUCGGACAUUUGCGCAAGGUCUGGAAAAGGGUCCGAUCACUUUGGGUCUACUCAAGGAUUGUGGAAAUUGUCCGUAUUGGGAGGCCGUGUAUUCUGCUAGAUAUCACAAAGUCUAGGAUAGACAUAGACAGGCAUAAAAGCUACUCCCGGAGAAUAUCGGUAAGUUCUCCCCUCCAGCGACGCUCCCGCGGGCGUCCGGGAGGCAACCCUAGCGCUGCCGCCGCCACCCCCUCCUCCUCUCUCUCCUCCCUCGCCGCCGCCAGGGGGCACGAGCGGGCGAAGCCCGGUCGUCGCCGGCGGCGGCGGGGCCAUUUCGUCUCCUUGCGCGGGAGGUGCGGCGCGGGCCGGAUCUCGCCGGCGGGGAUGUUGCGCUCGAUACCGGGCGUAGCGGCGCGGCGGCGCUCCGGAGUGGGUCAGCGACGGCGGCGUGGCGUCGGGCGACGGGUGGCAUGGUGGUGGUGCAGGCGAGCAACCAUGGCCGCUUGGGUGGCAUGGUUGCAGGUGGUUGGCGGACCGGGGAUGCAGCGGAAGGGUGGAGCACCGGGGUUCAUCACUUACCUGUCCGUGCAUGGGUCGACGGUGGCGGCGUCCGCGGACGUCGUGUUCCUCCUUGCAGGCUCCGUCGUGGUGCUCUCACUCCUCCCGUCUUCUUGUUCCGGCAGAUGCCCCCUCCAUGGGUCAAACUGCACACCAUCCCCGGUUUCUCCAUCAGCGAGCGACAAAAUUUUUCUACGAAUAUCACAGAGAAUGAAAUACAUAUCUCUGAACCAAACUGCUGGUCUGCUAGUGCUGAAAAAGCGCGGUAGGUCAAUUACGACCACUGGGCCUGUGCAAGUUGAAUUCGCCGGGCUGCUCUUCGGCGACCGUCCGGUCCGGUCGCACGGAAAGCAACAGUCUGCAGCUUUUUGGGCUCCAGAAAUUCCUCAAACUUCUGAAAUCCUGAUAUUACCGUUUACCCAUAUCCAGAUCCUGCUAGAAACACUCCUACACUUCAGAAAUCCUGAUUCAUGUCCCCUCAAAGGGCGAGCACAAGGGCGGACAUUGUUUCUUUUUGUUUGGCGCCGCAAGGAGAUGGUGCUCAUGGCUCCGAAUUUGGGCGAGCACAAGGGAGGGCAUGUGCUUUUUGUUUGGCGCCGCAAGGAGAUGGUGCUCAUACCCCGUUUUUUCAAUGGCUCCCCUCCCGAAUUAGGCUCUCGCCGGCUCAAUCCAUGGAGCCAUUCGCUCCGCGCAUCACGGGCGAUCGAUCGAUCGACAAAAGACAACGUACUACGCUUCUGCAACGUGUGGAAGAAGCGAGAUUUUCUGCAGCUGGUUUCCGGUUGUUGCGUAGUGCACAGGCCUCCCGCGGCAGCAUGUUCGUUUCCCGUCCCGCUCCGCCCCGUCGCGGUCGCCGCCGAUGCUUCCAGAAACGGUGAUCGGAAGAGAAAGAAGCAGAGAUGCAGCCGCCGCGGCCCUCUCCUCCCCCACCCACCCCAUUGCACCAGUUACAGAAGAAGCCGCGGCGGCGGCCCUCUCCUCUACCCCUCUCAAUCCCCUCUCCCAAAUCCUUCAGAUCUGACGAUUUGGAUGGUUUGGCUUCUCGAUGAUCACUGGGAUCAUCAACACCGGUCGUAUGCUAUGUCUGUGGAGCAGCGGGAGCUUCAACCUCUGAAGAUUCGGUCUCACGGGGUCAACCUUGGGGGGAUGCGCUAUGAUGAGCGAUACACACCGUAUGUAAGGGAGAUAGGACUCCUCCCUUUCAUUCAGUUGUUGGAUGACGCCUGUUGUAGGAAAUCUGGAGGUAUUGGUGGUUGUAUGCUCGCACUAUCUAUAUGGAGCUGGGAGCGAUUGCCGGUUGGACAACUGAAGACCGUGAAGUUCGAGGAUUGGGACGACAAAGACGACCCACUACGACUCCCCACUUGGGCUUACAAGUGGGAUGUGAUAAAUGAGACAACGGAUGAUCCCUCGGUCAUGUACAAGUUGUACACGAGCGAGCUGGACACGAUCACGGCUGAGCAGCUGGAAUGGGAGCUGUAUGGAAGAGGGGAUAGUUUUGGUUGGAUAGGAGAAGGCAGCGGAAGGUCAAGGAUUGGGCCAAGCAUCACACCGGCGUAUGCUGAGGAGAUUUUGGAAGAUCCCACCGUUUUCGAUCGGCUAACCCAGCGCCAGUACAACAAAUUAGUCAGGGAAGGCACCUCAGUCCCUACAGCUCCAAUGAUGAACUUUGUGCGUGCCCAGAUCAAGAAAGCAGCUGAUGAGGCCGAGACUAUUCUGGAGACAACCCCGGUUCGGAAAAGCGAUGGGCAAGGUGCACUUCGAGCAUUCAUUAAGCACCAGGGCCAAAAGUUAAGGCGGCUAUCAAACCUUUUCGGUUGUCGUGACCCUGAGUAUGUAUCACCUGAACGGUCUAGGUCGGCGACACCAUCAGAUCCCACUUCUGGCCAUGGUGAUCCUUUGGAUGAUGAGGAUGUGGUUCGGUCAGCAUACGAGUUAAAGCCUAGGAAGGGAAUCAAUAAAUACACACCUGAAGACUUCACCCAAAUAGGCAAAAGGACGGCCGGCACCUCGCGGAUGGCGACUUUGGAUGACGUGGAGGAACCGGAGCCGGAACCAGAGCGUGUUGCUCUUCCUAGGAAGGCGAAGAAGAUAGCCAGCAGGAGGGGGGAGGAGCCCAAAAGUGCACAAGGAACUAGUCGUUGUCCUCUAUUUGUUAUUUUGAGGGACAAAAAAACACUAAGUGUUGUUGUGGCGCCUAGCCUGGAGGCGCCACAUUGUAUAGUGCAACGCCCCCGAGAUAGGCGCUGCACUGUACGGUGUGGCGCCUCCAAGCUAGGCGCCACACUAACACUUAGCGAAUUUUUGGCCCCAAAAUGGAUGCAAACUUUCUGUUGCCCUCUGGAUAGCUCUACACAGGCAUGCAAUGCCUCGGAGAUAGGCGCCACACCAUGGAGUGCAACGCCUAGCUCUGAGGCGUUGCACGGCUGUAUAGAGCUAUCCAGAGAGCAACAGAAAGUUUGCAAGUUACAGGCUGGUGUGGCGCCUAGCCUGGAGGCGCCACAUUGUAUAAUGCAACACCACCAAGCUAGGCGCUGCACUGUAUCGUGUGGCGCCUCCAAGCUAGGCGUCAGACUAAGCAGUGCAACGCCUAGCUCGGAGGCGUUGCACGCCUAG
rnacentral:rRNA from 1 species